rnacentral:rRNA from 1 species
CGCUGGCGGCGUGCUUAAUACAUGCAAGUCGAACGGAGCUUAGCUGAUAGUUACUAGAGGCGAAAGCUUAGUGGCGGACGGGUGAGUAACGCGUGGGUAAUCUGCCCCUAAGUCCGGGAUAACAGAGCGAAAGUUCUGCUAAGACCGGAUACUCUUUACCAGUUGCAUAACGGGUAAAGGAAAGGUAACGCUUAGGGAUGAGCCCGCGUCCCAUUAGCUAGUUGGUGAGGUAAGAGCUCACCAAGGCGACGAUGGGUAGCCGGCCUGAGAGGGUGGACGGCCACACUGGGACUGAGACACGGCCCAGACUCCUACGGGAGGCAGCAGUAGGGAAUUUUCCGCAAUGGGCGCAAGCCCUGACGGAGCAACGCCGCGUGAGGGACGAAAGUCUUCGGAUCGUAAACCUUUGUCAUCGAGGACGAUAAUGACGGUACUCGAGGAGGAAGCCCCGGCUAACUACGUGCCAGCAGCUGC